GAUGAACGCUAGCGGCAGGCCUAACACAUGCAAGUCGAGGGAGAAGCCCUUUCGGGGGCAGACACCGGCGCACGGGUGCGUAACGCGUAUGCAACCUACCUUUCACAGGGGGAUAGCCCGAAGAAAUUUGGAUUAAUACCCCAUAAUAUUAUUGGAUGGCAUCAUUUGAUAAUUAAAACUGCGGUGGUGAAAGAUGGGCAUGCGUCCUAUUAGCUAGUUGGAGUGGUAACGGCACCCCAAGGCUACGAUAGGUAGGGGUCCUGAGAGGGAGAUCCCCCACACUGGUACUGAGACAGGGACCAGACUCCUACGGGAGGCAGCAGUGAGGAAUAUUGUGCAAUGGUCGGAAGACUGAACCAGCCAUGCCGCGUGCAGGAAGAAUGCCUUAUGGGUGGUAAACUGCUUUUAUAUGGGAAGAAUAAGGCGUACGUGUACGUUGAUGACGGUACCAUAUGAAUAAGCAGCGGCUAACUCCGUG
rnacentral:rRNA from 1 species